GACGUAGGGCGCGAGCGUUGUCCGGAUUUAUUGGGCGUAAAGAGCUCGUAGGCGGUUCCGUAAGUCGGGUGUGAAAAAUCUGGGCUCAACCCAGUGGAGCACCCGAUACUGCGGUGACUCGAGUCCGGUAGGGGAGUGUGGAAUUCCUGGUGUAGCGGUGAAAUGCGCAGAUAUCAGGAGGAACACCGACGGCGAAGGCAGCACUCUGGGCCGGUACUGACGCUGAGGAGCGAAAGCAUGGGGAGCGAACAGG
rnacentral:rRNA from 1 species